rnacentral:rRNA from 1 species
AUUGAACGCUGGCGGCAUGCCUUACACAUGCAAGUCGAACGGCAGCACGGGAGCAAUCCUGGUGGCGAGUGGCGAACGGGUGAGUAAUAUAUCGGAACGUGCCCAGUCGUGGGGGAUAACGCAGCGAAAGCUGUGCUAAUACCGCAUGCGAUCUAUGGAUGAAAGCGGGGGACUCGCAAGGGCCUCGCGCGAUUGGAGCGGCCGAUAUCAGAUUAGGUAGUUGGUGGGGUAAAGGCUCACCAAGCCGACGAUCUGUAGCUGGUCUGAGAGGACGACCAGCCACACUGGAACUGAGACACGGUCCAGACUCCUACGGGAGGCAGCAGUGGGGAAUUUUGGACAAUGGGCGCAAGCCUGACCCAGCAAUGCCGCGUGCAGGAUGAAGGCCUUCGGGUUGUAAACUGCUUUUGUACGGAACGAAAAGGCUCUGGUUAAUACCUGGGGCACAUGACGGUACCGUAAGAAUAAGCACCGGCUAACUACGUGCCAGCAGCCGCGGUAACAC